rnacentral:rRNA from 1 species
GCGCAGCAGGCGAGAAACCUUCGCAAUGCGGGAAACCGCGACGAGGGGACUCCCAGUGCCUACGCUCAGCGUAGGCUGUUCCCGAGCCUAGAAAGCUCGGGGAGUAAGGGCUGGGUAAGACGGGUGCCAGCCGCCGCGGUAAUACCCGCAGCCCGAGUGGUGGCCACUAUUAUUGGGCCUAAAGCGUCCGUAGCCGGCCCGGUAAAUGCCUGGGUAAAUCGUGAGGCCUAACCUCACGAAUUCCGGGUAGACUGCCGGGCUAGGGACCGGAGGAGGGGAGAGGGGUACUCCAGGGGUAGGGGUGAAAUCCUGUAAUCCCUGGAGGACCACCGGUGGCGAAGGCGCUCUCCUAGGACGGGUCCGACGGUGAGGGACGAAAGCCAGGGGAGCGCACCGGAUUAGAUACCCCUGUAGU